rnacentral:rRNA from 1 species
CAGCAGCCACGGGAAUACGUAGGUGGCAAGCGUUGUCCGGAAUUAUUGGGCGUAAAGGGCUCGCAGGCGGUUUCUUAAGUCUGAUGUGAAAGCCCCCGGCUCAACCGGGGAGGGUCAUUGGAAACUGGGAAACUUGAGUACAGAAGAGGAGAGUGGAAUUCCACGUGUAGCGGUGAAAUGCGUAGAGAUGUGGAGGAACACCAGUGGCGAAGGCGACUCUCUGGUCUGUAACUGACGCUGAGGAGCGAAAGCGUGGGGAGCGAACAGGAUUAGAUACCCGGGUAGUCCCUGUCUCUUAUAC